CCUACGGGAGGCAGCAGUGGGGAAUAUUGGGCAAUGGGCGCAAGCCUGACCCAGCAACGCCGCGUGAAGGAAGAAGGCUUUCGGGUUGUAAAAUUCUUUUAAGAGGGAAGAGAAGAAGAUGGUAACUCUUGAAUAAGCUACGGCUAACUACGUGCCAGCAGCCGCGGUAAUACGGAGGAUGCGAGUGUUAUCCGGAUUUAUUGGGUUUAAAGGGUGUGUAGGCGGUCCGGAAAGUCUGCGGUAAAAGCCCGGGGCUCAACCCCGGCGAGCCGUUGAAACUGUCGGACUAGAGACGGCGAGAGGUACGCGGAAUGCGCGGUGUAGCGGUGAAAUGCAUAGAUAUCGCGCAGAACUCCGAUUGCGAAGGCAGCGUACCGGCGCCGGACUGACGCUGAGGCACGAAAGCGUGGGUAUCGAACAGGAUUAGAUACCCUUGUAGUC
rnacentral:rRNA from 1 species